rnacentral:rRNA from 1 species
AUUGAACGCUGGCGGCAGGCCUAACACAUGCAAGUCGAAUGGUAACAGGAAACAGCUUGCUGUUUCGCUGACGAGUGGCGGACGGGUGAGUAAUGUCUGGGACACUGCCUGAUGGAGGGGGAUAACUACUGGAAACGGUAGCUAAUACCGCAUAACGUCGCAAGCCCAAAGAGGGGGACCUUCGGGCCUCUUGCCAUCAGAUGUGCCCAGAUGGGAUUAGCUAGUAGGUGGGGUAACGGCUCACCUAGGCGACGAUCCCUAGCUGGUCUGAGAGGAGGAACAGCCACACUGGAACUGAGACACGGUCCAGACUCCUACGGGAGGCAGCAGUGGGGAAUAUUGCACAAAGGGCGCAAGCCUGAUGCAGCCAUGCCGCGUGUAUGAAGAAGGCCUUCGGGUUGUAAAGUACUUUCAGCGGGGAGGAAGGGAGUAAAGAUAAUACCUUCGCUCAUUGACGUUACCCGCAGAAGAAGCACCGGCUAACUCCGUG